ensembl:lncRNA
UUUUUUUCACCGCUGGCUUCCGUAAUUAGCCGAGUGACUAUAUCAAAUGUCCCACCAUUUAUAGCUAACGAGGGUAUAGAGCGUGAACUUUCUCGUUUUGGAAAGUCAGCAAGAAGCAUUAAAAUGGUGCCGCUAAAUAAUAAACACCCGGAGCUGAAGCACGUCAUGAACAUGCAGGGAAAAACAAUGAACCUGAACCUGUGUGUGAAGCAGACUCUGCUGAGCUCCAGGCUUCGCAGCUGGAGGACAGUGCAGUUGAAGGUGGUGGAGAGGGUACACAGAGUGGUGACGUGGUGGUGGAAAAUGGAGUAGGUGCUGCAUUAAUUGAGAAUAAUGGUGUGGUGAUGCAGAACGCUGGUUUAAGUGCAGGAAAUGAGGAGAGCAGUGAAAUGACUGCGGAAGACACUGAAAGUGUCAUGGUGAACGCUGGUGUUGGGGCAGGGCGUGUGUGAGGUUUAGGGGCAGGGCGUGUGUAAGGUUUGGGGGCAGGGCGUGUGUGAGAUUUGGGGGCAGGGCGUGUGUGAGAUUUAGGGGCAGGGCGUGUGUGAGAUUUGGGGGCAGGGCGUGUGUGAGGUUUGGGGGCAGGGCGUGUGUAAG